UACGUAGGUGGCGAGCGUUGUCCGGAUUUACUGGGCGUAAAGGGAGCGUAGGUGGUUUCUUAAGUCAGAGGUGAAAGGCUACGGCUCAACCGUAGUAAGCCUUUGAAACUGGGGAACUUGAGUGCAGGAGAGGAGAGUGGAAUUCCUAGUGUAGCGGUGAAAUGCGUAGAUAUUAGGAGGAACACCAGUUGCGAAGGCGGCUCUCUGGACUGUAACUGACACUGAGGCACGAAAGCGUGGGGAGCAAACAGG
rnacentral:rRNA from 1 species